rnacentral:rRNA from 1 species
GACGAACGCUGGCGGCGUGCUUAACACAUGCAAGUCGAACGGAAAGGCCCAGCUUGCUGGGUGCUCGAGUGGCGAACGGGUGAGUAACACGUGGGUGAUCUGCCUCUAACUUCGGGAUAAGCUUGGGAAACUGGGUCGAAUACCGGAUAGGACAAUCGUUUAGUGUCGGCUGUGGAAAGUUUUUUCGGUUAGGGCUGAGCCCGCGGCCUAUCAGCUUGUUGGUGGGGUAAUGGCCUACCAAGGCGUCGACGGGUAGCCGGCCUGAGAGGGUGGACGGCCACAUCGGGCCUGAGAUACGGCCCAGACUCCUACGGUGGGCAGCAGUGGGGAAUAUUGCACAAUGGGCGCAAGCCUGAUGCAGCGACGCCGCGUGGGGUAUGACGGCCUUCGGGUUGUAAACCUCUUUCGACUGGGACGAAGCUUUGGUGACGGUACCUGUAUAAGAAGCACCGGCUAACUACGUG